rnacentral:rRNA from 1 species
AGAGUUUGAUCCUGGCUCAGGAUGAACGCUAGCGACAGGCUUAACACAUGCAAGUCGAGGGGCAGCACAGGUAGCAAUACCGGGUGGCGACCGGCGCACGGGUGAGUAACGCGUAUGCAACUUGCCUAUCAGAGGGGGAUAACCCGGCGAAAGUCGGACUAAUACCGCAUGAAGCAGGGGCCCCGCAUGGGGAUAUUUGCUAAAGAUUCAUCGCUGAUAGAUAGGCAUGCGUUCCAUUAGGCAGUUGGCGGGGUAACGGCCCACCAAACCGACGAUGGAUAGGGGUUCUGAGAGGAAGGUCCCCCACAUUGGUACUGAGACACGGACCAAACUCCUACGGGAGGCAGCAGUGAGGAAUAUUGGUCAAUGGCCGAGAGGCUGAACCAGCCAAGUCGCGUGAGGGAUGAAGGUUCUAUGGAUCGUAAACCUCUUUUAUAAGGGAAUAAAGUGCGGGACGUGUCCCGUUUUGUAUGUACCUUAUGAAUAAGGAUCGGCUAACUCCGUGCCAGCAGCCGCGGUAAUACGGAGGAUCCGAGCGUUAUCCGGAUUUAUUGGGUUUAAAGGGUGCGUAGGCGGCCUUUUAAGUCAGCGGUGAAAGUCUGUGGCUCAACCAUAGAAUUGCCGUUGAAACUGGGAGGCUUGAGUAUGUUUGAGGCAGGCGGAAUGCGUGGUGUAGCGGUGAAAUGCAUAGAUAUCACGCAGAACCCCGAUUGCGAAGGCAGCCUGCCAAGCCAUUACUGACGCUGAUGCACGAAAGCGUGGGGAUCAAACAGGAUUAGAUACCCUGGUAGUCCACGCAGUAAACGAUGAUCACUAGCUGUUUUGCGGAUACACUGUAAGCGGCACAGCGAAAGCGUUAAGUGAUCCACCUGGGGAGUACGCCGGCAACGGUGAAACUCAAAGGAAUUGACGGGGGCCCGCACAAGCGGAGGAACAUGUGGUUUAAUUCGAUGAUACGCGAGGAACCUUACCCGGGUUUGAACGCAUUCGGACCGAGGUGGAAACACCUUUUCUAGCAAUAGCCGUUUGCGAGGUGCUGCAUGGUUGUCGUCAGCUCGUGCCGUGAGGUGUCGGCUUAAGUGCCAUAACGAGCGCAACCCUUGCCACUAGUUACUAACAGGUAAAGCUGAGGACUCUGGUGGGACUGCCAGCGUAAGCUGCGAGGAAGGCGGGGAUGACGUCAAAUCAGCACGGCCCUUACAUCCGGGGCGACACACGUGUUACAAUGGCGUGGACAAAGGGAAGCCACCUGGCGACAGGGAGCGAAUCCCCAAACCACGUCUCAGUUCGGAUCGGAGUCUGCAACCCGACUCCGUGAAGCUGGAUUCGCUAGUAAUCGCGCGUCAGCCAUGGCGCGGUGAAUACGUUCCCGGGCCUUGUACACACCGCCCGUCA